GUGCUGCUUUUACAACACUUAUACCAAAAAUAAUACAGAGAAGAUUAGCACAGCCAUGUGUAAGGUUGAGAUGCUUAUUUGUGAAUCAUUCCAUAGUUUU
rnacentral:snRNA from 1 species